rnacentral:lncRNA from 1 species
CAGAGCCCAGAAACAGCCGUUGUCCCCUGGCAAAAGAGGCCCAGUGCUGAGCCCUGGGCAAGUGUCUCCAGACAUCCCUACCUUUCUCUCCCUUUAUUAAGUCUUCUUUCCCAACAGAACCCAUUUCCUUUGCCACUAAAACUAGGUUGCAUCCAAAAGUUUCUCACAAGCUUAAAAAAGAAAAAUUGACACCAUUAUGCAGAAGAAUUCACAAAAGCUGCAGAGCGCCAGGGCAGAGAAGCAGCGUCAGACACAGAAAUUCACUCAACUUCUCCAAGGAGCGGGCAACGGAUGCUUUCCUGCCGCAGCCUGGCCACUUUGCUGGAAGAAAGUCUCUGCCCCAAGGAGCAGACACAGUCAUCAUACAGCCUCCGCAGAAGAGCGGCCAGCUUACCGGGACCUGCUGAGCCUGUGACGAGGAUUUUUAGAAGCUGGGGACUGGAAGGCUUAUGUGUCCCAGAACCUGUGGGAAAGACCAUUGGGAAGUUUCAUUUGGAAAGUGCUGGGCGCAGCCCGGCUCUGGCGCACAAUUUCCAGGCUUCCAGGCAGCCAAACUGCAGCGAAGCUGCGGGAGGCAUGGGGGCUCCGGCUUUUCCAUCGAGAGUUUCUCAUGCGGGUU